rnacentral:pre_miRNA from 1 species
AGCAUUUCGAAUCCGUGCUGAGAUUUCGUCAGACACCGACCCAUUAGGGCGGAUCAGACUUCCAAGAUAAGUGAAGUU